AAUUCGCUAGAGUGAUCUGCUCAGGAUGCGCUAGCUACAGGAGUCGCCGACGGUGAGUACACGUAUCACUGCUCAUACUCGGGAUAGCUUUCGAAAGAAAGAUAUAUCGAUAGUAUGAGAUGGGGAUGCGUUCCAUUAGUUUGUUGGGGGGGUAACGGCCCACCAAGACUACGAUGGAUAGGGGUUCUGAGAGGAAAGGUCCCCACAUUGGAACUGAGACACGGUCCAAACUCCUACGGGAGGCAGCAGUGAGGAAUAUUGGUCAAUGGACGCGAGUCUGAACCAGCCAAGUAGCGUGAAGGAUGACUGCCUAUGGGUUGUAAACUUCUUUUAUAUGGGAAUAUGUACCAUAUGAAUAAGGAUCGGCUAACUCCGUGCCAGCAGCCGCGGUAAUACGGAGGAUCCGAGCGUUAUCCGGAUUUAUUGGGUUUAAAGGGAGCGUAGGCGGAUUGUUAAGUCAGUUGUGAAAGUUUGCGGCUCAACCGUAAAAUUGCAGUUGAUACUGGCAGUCUUGAGUGCAGUAGAGGUGGGCGGAAUUCGUGGUGUAGCGGUGAAAUGCUUAGAUAUCACGAAGAACUCCGAUUGCGAAGGCAGCUCACUGGAGUGUAACUGACGCUGAUGCUCGAAAGUGUGGGUAUCAAACAGGAUUAGAUACCCUGGUAGUCCACACAGUAAACGAUGAAUACUCGCUGUUUGCAAGCGGCCAAGCGAAAGCAUUAAGUAUUCCACCUGGGGAGUACGCCGGCAACGGUGAAACUCAAAGGAAUUGACGG
rnacentral:rRNA from 1 species